AUGAGCAUAAAGCUCUCAUACAUUCAACUACUAAAAUAAAAUAUAACAACUAAAUAACCUAAAAAAUCUAGUACAAAAUGAUCAGAUCAAUGAGAUUGGACAUCGAGCUCAAGAUCAAGAUAGGUGAAAUAAAAUCAACCUCAUCCUCAACUGAAGGGUCUGGUCCGAGAGGAAGAUGUCAGAGGAUGAAAUACAAUAGGCUGGACAAAGAUUGGCUCACUGGAUGCAGAGGGCCUAGACAGAAGCUGAGUCCUAAUGGCAUCAAGCGGGACAGGACCCCCUUCACUAAAACUCGGAGCCCAUCAAGAUCAGAAGAUACAAAGUCUCUGGAGUCCCUGAUGUCUGCUCGAAUCAGCUCAAGAGAAGAAUGAAGCUGGCUGUGGAGUCUCUCUAUCUCUCAAGUCAAAUCAGCCAAUUGAGGUGAAGAGAUGGUCGAUGUGCUCGUUUUUGCCAAUAGAAAAUUAAAAAUCUGUCUGAUCUCUCUCUCAAUAUCAAAAAUUCUACCACUGAAUUUGAGUAGGGAUCUCUCCAUACUUUCCAGUCUAGUACUC
rnacentral:lncRNA from 1 species